CAGAUUAAAGACUGAGCAGAGUCAGGACCUUCACCUGUGCUGUCAGCUGUAAAUCAGUGUUACCUCAUCAGCUGCUUCUUACCAGAUGGAAAUGAUGGAAGUUAGUGAAUAACAGCAGCACAGCAGUGACAAACACACUAUCUGUCAGAGCUGUGAGAGGAAGGAGGGAGGGAUUAAGGGAGGAGAGAAACUCAGACUCAAGUUCAGAAAAGACAAACUCUCACUGUGGAGUUUCAUACAAAAACAGAUUGUCUUGAUCUUUAAGAUGCUGUCAGUGAACUUCAGUCUGUCUGUCACUUUGUUUCUGCUCACAAUAACAGGUGUCAGCUGUGAAGAACUCAGUCCAGUCAAGAAUGAAGAGUCCAGUUUAGAAGACAGCACUGUUACUCUGUCCUACACAUACUCCAAACAAGCUGAUGGCUAUGAUAAUUUCUUCUGGUAUCAACAAUAUCCAGGAAAACCACCAGAGUUCCUGCUCUACAUCUCAGGGCUGAAUGUUACAAGACCUGCAGAGUCUUUAAAAUCAGACACAAAGUUCUCGGCUAAACUGUCUGAAGAAAAACGUGGUGUGUAUCUGCAGAUCUCCUCUGCUGCAGUGACAGACUCUGCUGUGUACUACUGUGCUGUGAGGCCCACAGUGACAGGAAACACCAAAACUCUGUACAAAAACACAAGCUGACACACUGACAAGCUGCUGGAAGCCU